ensembl:lincRNA
CUUUCACUCUCUAUUGUACCUAAGAUAUACCUCCCUGUACUCUUCAGGCACGUUCAAACCCCCACCCAUCUUGCAAUUGCUAACAGAAACUCAGCUGCUUUCAAGACAACUUUCCCUGUUCCUAAUAACUUCAGGUGAACUUCUGCUGAAUUCUGCUGUCAUUCCUUCCUUCUGCUAUGUGUCAUUAUGGAAGCUGUAGGACAUGAAGCCGGAAAUCCCAGAAUCUGAGUCUUUGAGUAUGCUCAGCGCGAGCCAUCAUGGGGCCAUGUUCUUCCCCUUUGCUCUUGGAGAAUAGACAAAGCUACCCAGCCCAGCCACAGCCUCAUAAUCUUGUUCUACCUCCCUCUCCAGCCUCAAAUAUUUCCAGGCUCCAGCUCAAGUCAUACAUCAGGUAUCAGCACCCAUGGCUUUAGGAAGAGGGAAAAUGAAGAGGAAAUCUAAUCUACCUGAGUCUAAACAAUAAACAUCCGUGAAUAGGGAC